rnacentral:rRNA from 1 species
GGAUGCCCUCCGUCGUCACCCCUUAGAACCUGUUACCCGCUUUCGGACNAGGUCGUUAAGGCGCACACCCUUCUUCCGGAAGCCCAACAUUUGGUGAAAACCGUCCUUUCUUUAGCAAAAGCUAUUAGGGCGCUUACCUACUGCCAUGGACGUCU